rnacentral:rRNA from 1 species
UACGUAGGGGGCAAGCGUUGUCCGGAAUCAUUGGGCGUAAAGGGUGCGUAGGUGGCGCUGUAAGUCAGGUGUGAAAUUUCGGAGCUUAACUCCGAAACUGCAUUUGAUACUGCGGUGCUCGAGGACUGGAGAGGAGACUGGAAUUUACGGUGUAGCAGUGAAAUGCGUAGAGAUCGUAAGGAAGACCAGUGGCGAAGGCGGGGUCGUCUGGACAGUUCCUGACACUGAGGCACGAAGGCCAGGGGAGCAAACGGG